GGCGCAGGCAUGAGACAAGGGUAGGACCCCGGAAGAGGAGGAUGCGGGUGCCUUUGCUGUGAACACAACAAAGCUUUCUAGGUCUGGAUCACCAAUGGCAGGCUGCCCAGAAUUUUUACUGUUUGUAAAGACUGAAGAUGUGGAUUCUGACAACUCAGUCAAAGACAGACACAGAAUUAUACAAAGUUGGGUGGAGUCACUCAGGGAGAUCGGAAGAUGGACAUUUAAGGCCCUGACUAUAAGUUUCUUUGUGUAUGUUUAUGUGUGUGCGUGUAUGAGGGUUUAGGCAAGGUGACUGAACCUGUGCCCCUCCUAAAUAUCAAUAUAAAAUGAUAUUUAAUUGGUUUGGGUUUCAAUUAAACAUGCGAGUAAAAUCAGAUUGAGAAUCCCAUAGACACCGUGGUAAUAAAGAGGAGCUCUUUGAAAAUGGCUCAUUAAUUCCGCAGACAAAAAGUGCACCUCUCAGUGCACUGAGCUGUGAUGAUUUCAGGGGCAGUGCAGUUGAUGAAGCAAUCAGCCUUGUGGAAGAGGGCAGCAGCAGACACCAGGAAGGGCAGGACAGCAAGUAUUCUAGGUUGUGUAGUCCACUUUGUAAAUACCAGUUUCCAUCCAAAAGGCAGAAGCCAGAGGAAUUGAACUCAUGACCUAAUGCUUGCCAGGGCAGAAUUGUGCCACUGAACUAUAUCCCUAGCUGUUUAACAUAUUGAAGAACUGCCAAACUGGUUUUCAAAGUGACUUAACAGUUUUACAUUCACAACAAUAACUUCAUUGGCUCUCCUGCCUUGAUAGGAAGACAAUGACCCCAUGAGGAUGUGACAUGUGACUGUAAGUGUGCACUGUACAAUGACUCUCUUCAAGAAAAAGAGAAAAUAGUGAAUCCCCAGAGACUUUCCCCUUGAGAACCAACAUCUUCGGUUUUCUUGCCCCUGUUCUCUGAGGUGAGAACUGAGAAGCCUAACAACAGAUCACAAAAUAAAUAUAUAAAUAAAUGCAAAAA